rnacentral:rRNA from 1 species
GGACCUGACUGCUAUCGGAUUGAUACUAAGCCAUUGCGAGUCAUUGUAGCAAUACAAGGCAGACGGCUCAGUAACGCGUAGUCAACCUACCCUAUGGACGGGAAUAACCUCGGGAAACUGAGUAUAAUGCCCGAUAGAACAUUAUGCCUGGAAUGGUUUAUGUUCCAAAUGAUUUAUCGCCGUAGGAUGGGACUGCGGCCUAUCAGUUUGUUGGUGAGGUAAUGGCCCACCAAGACUAUUACAGGUACGGGCUCUGAGAGGAGUGGCCCGGAGAUGGGUACUGAGACACGGACCCAGGCCCUAUGGGGCGCAGCAGGCGAGAAAACCUUGCAAUGUGCGAAAGCACGACAAGGUUAAUCCGAGUGGUUUCUGCUAAAGGAACCUUUUGUCAGUCCUAGAAACACUGAUGAAUAAGGGGUGGGCAAGUUCUGGUGU